GCAAUUACAAAAUCCUUACUAAUAGCCAAACACCUUUUACCGCCACCUUGACAGUCACUUUCUUAAUCUCGCCGGAGAAAGGAAACUCCGAUAAUAUGGGAAGCAGCAGCGGUAGCGACGUAGAAGCAGGAUUCGCGAAGCUACAAGGAGAAGAUUUCGAGUAUUACAUGCAAACGUACUCCAUAAUCCUCGGCCGGAACUCCAAAAAAUCAACGGUCGACGUCGACUUAUCAUCUCUCGGCGGGGGGAUGAACAUCUCCCGUCACCACGCUCGCAUUUUUUACGACUUCCAACGACGCCGUUUUAACCUCGAAGUAUUAGGCAAAAACGGGUGCUUUGUCGAAGGUGUGCUUCACUUGCCCGGUAACCCGCCGAUCAAAUUAGAUUCACAAGACUUACUUCAGAUCGGAGAUAAAGAGUUUUAUUUCCUCCUUCCCGUUCGUAGUAUCCUUGGUGGCGGGCCGCUUAUUGGGCCUAAACAACACGUGAAUUUGAAUUCGAAUUAUCCAGUGGCGGCCCAUUAUGGUGGGGUAGGGAAAAAGGGGGGAUUGUUUAGAGGGAGGGAGAUGGAGUAUUAUGACGAGGAGGAAUAUGAUGAUGAUGAUGAUGAUGAUGAUGAUGAUGAUGAUGAUGAUACUGGAGGCAAGAAGAUGAGGAGGGGUGAUGGAGCUGAGGGUGGUGGUGGUUAUGGGUAUGGUUCUUGUGGUUCCAGUGGAAAAGCUUCAAUUUCCGGGCAAUUAGAUAAGAAGACAGAUGGAAGAUUACGUGUUGACAGAGAUGCUGACAAUCAGCAGCUCAUGCAGUUAGAAGAAAAGGAUGUUGUGUCAUCUGUAGCUAAUGUGCUUUCUGAUCUCUGUGGUCCAGGAGAAUGGAUGCCAAUGGAGAAGCUUCAUGCUGAGUUGGUUGAACACUAUGGCAAUACGUGGCACCAUAGUCGUGUGAGGAGAUAUCUGACAUCAGAGGACUAUCCCAGCCCAGAAGCCAAAACAAAGCCAUGGUAUGGAUUGUUGAUGCUGUUAAGGAAAUAUCCGGAGCAUUUUGUCAUCAAUACGCGGUCUAAGGGACGGGUAACUUUGGAGUUUGUUUCUCUUGUCUCACUGCUUUCUUGAGAACAGGCUAAAAGUGAAAAAACCCCAAAUAAAUAUCGGGGUGUUGUUGAGUAUUCUGAGUUAACUUGGCCCAUAUGGUCUCAACUGUCGGCCCAUUACCCCACUCAAUAUAAAGCUUUGAACAAAAACCCAAAUGGUCGAUUUUCUCUCGAAAAGGUUUUAGAAAAGCUGAGCUUGAGCAAACAGGAGAUUAGGGUUUUGUAUACUCCAUCAUUUGCCUCUGACCUACGACGAUGAUUUAUGACGUGAAUUCUCCGCUUUUCCGUUCCUUUCUCAGCCAGAAAGGAGGCGCCUCCGACAAAAGGAAAACUGAAGAGCAGAGGCCCAAGGAACAGAGGCCAAAAGCAAGUGAUAACAAGCCUGUUAUGAAUGAGUGAGAGCUGCCAGAUGUGAACUUAUUUUAGAUAAUUUGAAAUGUUGUUAAGCAACUCUUUUAAAGAUGUUGAGCACGCAAUUGUCAUUUGAAUAGAUCUAUCUCUUUAAGUUUUUUUGAUCAUUUACUUCUAUUGGUCUUAAUCUAUACAAGCUUUUAAA